rnacentral:rRNA from 1 species
UACGUAGGGUGCAAGCGUUAAUCGGAAUUACUGGGCGUAAAGCGUGCGCAGGCGGUUUUGUAAGUCUGACGUGAAAGCCCCGGGCUCAACCUGGGAAUUGCGUUGGAGACUGCAAGGCUUGAAUCUGGCAGAGGGGGGUAGAAUUCCGCGUGUAGCAGUGAAAUGCGUAGAGAUGUGGAGGAACACCGAUGGCGAAGGCAGCCCCCUGGGUCAAGAUUGACGCUCAUGCACGAAAGCGUGGGGAGCAAACAGG